GAUGUAACACCAUGGGGUAGGAAGCCCGGAACUAUUCUCUGGUAUGGCCACACUGAUACUUCUAGAAAAUUGUCGCCUACACCUGCCUGGCUCUUGAUCGGCUUUAACCUCAUUACUGAUUCAUCUCCAGCUACAUUUCUUGGCCCAUUCUCCCUGUCUUGCAUGUAACUCCAUACCAACAAUAAGCAGCAACAGGAAGCCCAGCACAUUCAAGAUGCAAGCAAUAAGGCAUGUCUGCUGAGGAGAGCUUCCAGUACUGAGUGGACACAGCUUGAGAG